AUGAACGUUGGCGGUGUGCCUAAUACAUGCAAGUCGAACGAAGAUGAUGGCAAUAUUGUCUUAGUGGCGAACGGGUGAGUAACGCGUUGGUGACCUGCCCCGAAGUGUGGAAUAACAAUUCGAAAGAAUUGCUAAUACCGCAUGUGAUCUUGGAGAUUAGAACCUCUUUGAUUAAAGGAUUUAUUCGCUUCGGGAGGGGCCUGCGUCCCAUCAGCUAGUUGGUAGGGUAAUGGCCUACCAAGGCUUUGACGGGUAGGGGACCUGAGAGGGUGGCCACCCACAAUGGAACUGAAACACGGUCCAUACACCUACGGGUGGCAGCAGUAGGGAAUAUUAGUAAUGGGCGAAAGCCUGAACAAGCGACGCCGCGUGCAGGAAGAAGGUCUUCGGAUCGUAAACUGCUUUUCUACAGGAAGAAUUUUGACUGUACUGUAGGAAUAAGGAGCUGCAAACUACGU
rnacentral:rRNA from 1 species